rnacentral:rRNA from 1 species
AUUGAACGCUGGCGGCAGGCCUAACACAUGCAAGUCGAGCGAGCGGCGGACGGGUGAGUAAUGUCUGGGAAACUGCCCGAUGGAGGGGGAUAACAACAGGAAACGGUAGCUAAAACAGCAUACCAUCUGAUGUGCCCAGAUGGGGUUAGCUGGAAGGUGGGGUAACGGCUCACCUAGGCGACGCUCCCUCGCUGGUCUGAGAGGAUGACCAGCCACACUGGAACGGAGACACGGUCCAGACUCCUACGGGAGGCAGCAGUGGGGAAUAUUGCACAAUGGGCGCAAGCCUGAUGCAGCCAUGCCGCGUGUGUGAAGAAGGCCUUCGGGUUGUAAAGCACUUUCAGCGGGGAGGCGUUACCCGCAGAAGAAGCACCGGCUAACUCCGUGCCAGCAGCCGCGGUAAUUC